rnacentral:lncRNA from 1 species
ACAUUUCUAUGUUUACUCAUUUCUAUCUAACUAAUUUUAAUUCAUUACAGCCAAGUUCACAAUCAAACAGUACACAAAGAAACAUUAAGAAACAAAGAGACAUUUCUGAACAAUAUAUUUACCGAGACAAGAAAGAUUCAGACACAAGAGGAUUCGACCAAAAACUCUUCAUAUUUAUCAAACUCAUUCAACACACUUCCAAUCAAUUAUAUUUAUCACAUAAGCUAAUUCAAUUCAAUUCAGUUCCAAUCAAUUCAAUUCAGUCCCAACCAUAAUCUUACACUAAACCAUCAGUUCCAAUCAAUUCAUCACAAAAGCUAAUUCAAUUCAAUUCAGUUCAUUAUAUUUCCUAGCAG